rnacentral:rRNA from 1 species
GAACGCUGGCGGCAGGCCUAACACAUGCAAGUCGAGCGCCCUUUCGGGGGAGCGGCGGACGGGUGAGUAACGCGUGGGAAUAUGCCCUUCUCUACGGAAUAGCCUCGGGAAACUGAGAGUAAUACCGUAUACGCCCUGUGGGGGAAAGAUUUAUCGGGGAAGGAUUAGCCCGCGUUGGAUUAGGUAGUUGGUGGGGUAAUGGCCUACCAAGCCGACGAUCCAUAGCUGGUUUGAGAGGAUGAUCAGCCACACUGGGACUGAGACACGGCCCAGACUCCUACGGGAGGCAGCAGUGGGGAAUCUUAGACAAUGGGGGCAACCCUGAUCUAGCCAUGCCGCGUGAGUGAUGAAGGCCUUAGGGUUGUAAAGCUCUUUC